AGGCACAGGUAGUCACCAUCCUGGUUUUUUUCAUCCCAAUAAAGCUCUUGUGUGAGGUUUGUUGUGUGCUGUGACUUUGUCAUAUCCCUUGGCUCCCAACUGUCACGAUACCUUUCCAUCUGAGCUGCAAUGCUUACAUUUGGCGCCAAAACCCUGGAUAGGCUCUCCUAGUGCCCAAAUGUCCCCCUCGUGGUUGAAGCUGCACUGGGACCUGAUCCUUCAUCUCAAGUCCACCUGCAACAGACUCACCUUCAUGCUCACCAAUGGCUCAGCACCCCAUCUACCAGCAGCAAUCAGCUCCUGCCUCCAGGAUCCUGCCCUGUUCAAGUUCCUGUCCUGACUUCUUCAGUGAUAAACAGCAAUGCUGAAGUCCUCUGUGGUUUCCCUUUCUCCUUCCUCAGCGACAGGCUGCCCACCUGACAGGGACCCUGGAUGGAGUUACAAUACCCCAGGAGAAUUCUUGCUUGGGGAUCAAUUUGUAACUUGCCUCCUGGCUGAUCUUCACAAGGAUCCUUUUAAAGAGAACCUUCAUCUAGUAAUUGAUGGAAGCAGAUGCAGAGAUCCACAGCUAAGCACUGGAUUGAACUUCUGGAGUCCAGUCAUAGAGAGGGAAGAACAACAAUAUGAGCAAAGGAAUCAAGACCAUGCUGGGGAAAUCCAAAGAAAGCUGACCUGAGCAAGUGGGAGUUCACUGACUCCAGACUGACAGCUGAGAACCUGUAUAAGACUGAACUAGGCCUUCUGAAUGUAGGUGACAUUUGGGUGGCUUGGGCAGUUGUGUGGGGCCACUGGCAGUGGAACCAGUAUUUAUCCUUAGUGCAGGAACUGGCUUUUUGGAGCCUAUUCCCUGUGGAGGGAUACCUUGCUCAGCCUUGAUACAAUAGGAAGGGACUUGGUCCUCCCAUAACUGAUGUGACAAACUUGGUUGAUUUCCCAUGGGAGGCCCUGGGAGUAUAUGGGGACAUGGAGUGAGGAGGUGUGAUGGGGAGGGAGCAUGGGAAGGAGAAGAAGCUGGGAUUGGUAUGUAAAAUAAGAUUGUUUUAAGACUAAAAAAUAAAG
rnacentral:lncRNA from 1 species